AAUUACUAAAAUCAAACUAACUAAACAAAAUUAAUUGAACUCAACAGAAAUUAAAAGAAUUUUGAAACCAAAACCUGGUCUCUACGGUUCGAACAGGGGGAAAGAGAGAGGUGGAACCACGGCUGACGGAGGAACCGAUUUUGGUCGCCACGGAGCUAGGGCUUGCGCGAAGGUAGCCGCGGCAUUGACUGGAGGAGAUGAUGGCUGUAGCACUGAGAAGAUAUGCGAGCUUGAGGGGCGGUGGUGGUGGAGCUUGAGGUUGCUUUGUUCUGCGAACGAGAAAGAACGAGAGAGACAGGGGCUGUGUUCUACUGGUUCAGUGUUUAAAAAAGAGGAGAAGAAGGAGAAGGUAGCUACGACAGUUAGGGUGGCCGGCGGUGGCGCUGUGGAUGAGGAAAGGAGAAGAAGAAGCUCGUUUAUCAGUUUGAC